GAUGAACGCUGGCGGCACGCUUAACACAUGCAAGUCGAACGAAGUCCAUGGAGCUUGCUCCGGAAGAUUUAGUGGCGAACGGGUGCGUAACACGUGAGAAAUCUGCCCCGGACUCUGGGAUAACAGUUGGAAACGACUGCUAAUACCGGAUGCCUUCAUUUGACCGCAUGGUUGUUUGAAGAAAGAUUUAUUGGUAAAAGAUGACUAUGCGUUCUAUUAGUUAGUUGGUGAGGUAACGGCUCACCAAGACAGCGAUAGAUAGGGGUCCUGAGAGGGAGAUCCCCCACACUGGUACUGAGACACGGACCAG
rnacentral:rRNA from 1 species